CCUCGUCUCGCCGGAGGGACUGGCAAGUAGAGCCAGAGCGAGCGCCUUGGGCAGCCCGGGUCCCUAGACACCACGGCCUGCCCGGCAUGGAGGGCGAAUGCCGGGUACUCUCCAUCCAGAGCCAUGUGGUCCGCUGCUACGUGGGCAACCGGGCCGCCAUGUUCCCGCUGCAGGUUUUGGGAUUUGAGGUUGAUGCUGUGAACUCUGUGCAGUUUUCCAACCACACAGGCUACGCCCAUUGGAAGGGCCAAGUGCUGAAUUCACAGGAACUCCAUGAACUGUAUGAAGGUCUCAAGAUAAAUGAUGCGAAUAAGUACGACUACGUGCUCACUGGUUACACAAGAGACAAGUCCUUCCUGGCCAUGGUGGUGGACAUCGUACGGGAGCUGAAGCAGCAGAACCCCCAGAUAGUGUACGUGUGUGAUCCCGUGAUGGGCGACAAGUGGAACGGCGAAGGUUCCAUGCCAGCAGGAGUUCAUCUGCAUAGGACCUCGGACCUCCAGGGAAAUGCCUCAGCAACUGGAUGGGGAGAGAUUAGAACCCUGGACCACUCACCAGUGCUGCAAAGCAUCAUGGGAACAGACCGUUUUUUCAGAGCUUCAUGUGGGAUCUGGAUGUCAGGAACUAGACAUGGUAUUGGGUGUCUGUAAUCCUAGUUAUUUGGAAGGCUGAGGUGGGAUGAUUGCAAGUUUGAGGCUAGCCUUAAUCCCACAAAAGACCACCAUCCACGUAUGCAGUCAACGAGAGCAUUCUUUAAUCCAGCAUGCUGGAACCGACCAUCCUACACAAAGGCAAAAUGGCAAUGACCUUGAGAGGAGCUCGCAGGCUCCUUUUAAGCACAGUCAGUGAGACGGACGUCCUAGGGCAGUCCUAGGUCCUUGGCUUAAGCAAGUAGCAAUCAUAUUAGUAUGUUCUAAUUGACUAUGGCUGGCAGGGGCUGGUUAAGGCUACAGCUUUUCUAUUUUGGGGCAGGCCUGGACAAGUCCCAGGCUUUGACCUUAUUUGGUUAUUACCUUGAGCUAUUGACUUGUGAUUCAGGCCUGGCCUGGUUGUUGGGGUGCUGGAGACUGCUUGUCCUUUGUUCAUGGCUCUCUCAGAAACUGCUUGUCCAGUCUCAGGAACCUGAUAUUGAGGCCUGAUCUCUGAGAGAAGACUGAGCAUCCUGUAAUGGCAUCUGCUCAGUCCUCUCAAAGGCAUAGAUCAUCCUUGCUUAACAGGCAUGAGGCCCCGAGUGCAUCACUAACAUGGAGAUAAUAAACAAAAGCUAAAGAUUGGUCUAAGCUGUCCUUGGUGAAGGUGGUCCAGAGCAAAAAGGACAUCGAGGACCCCAAGAUUGUGGUGCAGGCCAUGGUGCUGUGAGGGCCGUGCAUUCGCCCCAACACACCGAGUGCCGGGGUCUCUGUUUUCAUCCCUGUGAAAGCUGUAACGUCUGCCUUAGAGCCAUGACUGACACUUGACAUUUUAUUCCUUCCUGAGGGUCGGGUCUCAUCCGGUCUCAAUGGUGAAAAUGUACCAUCAUGUUUUUAAAAUAAUAAUAAUAAUAAUAAUAAUAAUAAUAAUAAUAAUAAUAACAAAAGCCGUUGCAGAAAUAUGUGACUCAGAAACAUGGCCCCUUCUCCUCCCAGGCUCUGGGCCUGCUGACUGUAUCUUGUUGACUCAUAGGUGUGUGGGAGGUAGGUGGAGUAGGCAAGCCUGCUGCCUGUGGACCCUUCUGUUGGUCACAGGCUGCCAUUGCCUCCAGAUUCCUGAUUGUGAUGGGACUAGGUCUGUGGUGGCAUUGUUUUUAAAUUGGGUUAAGUCUUUUUCUUGGGGGGGGCAGUUCAAGACAGGGUUUCUCUGUGUAGUUUUGGUGCCUGUCCUGAAUCUCACUCUGUAGACCAGGCUGGCCUCAAACUCACAGAGAUCCGCCUGCCUCUGCCUCCUGAGUGCUGGAGACUGCCCUCCAGGUUAAGUCUUAACCAUUGGCAUCUGGAAGAACUAUGCAAAAUAUCUUCAUUGCCAUUCUGGUCUUACCCUUGUUCCUGCAUCAGAGCUUGGGUAGGCACACAAGCAUGUAGUCACUGUGACAGGGACCCUUUAAGGGCCCGGAACAUUCCAGGGGAUCUGCAAGCCUUCUGGGUGUCUGCAGGAUCUCCUAUAACUUGGGAGCAACUUCUGGGAAACUGACCAACCUAGGGGGCGGCUGCUGAGCCUAAGGUGGCUUGGGAAGUUCAGGGAAGAUGCCACACUGGGUCCUUGUGGGAGCUCACCCAGCGCUGUGGUCCUCAGUUGGCACUGCACUUGCCAUGUGAUGCUGGGGACAGCACAUUGCUGCAGCUGUGUUUGCACAGACAGAAGGAGAGGCGGCUGUGGCACGAGCCCCCUGGUGGCAUACUUAACUGUGGGCUCCUCCUUCCAUUUCUGUAUUCUGUGCCCAGCACUCACUGAGGGGCAAGAGGCCCUCAUGUGAAGCCAGCUCGCACUCUGCCUCCUUGGAAGUCCUGCUCCUAGAGGGAGCGUAUGGGCACUGUGGGUGCAGGGCAUCCCUUAGACCCUUGCAGGAGACUGUGACAAGUUCCAUUUCCAUUGCUCAAGUGUGGCUUUCCCGACUGUACAUCUUGGAAUUUGGGGUCCCUGAGUCCUAGCUGUGAGUGGGGCUGUCCAUUUUGAUUGACCUUUAUCUCAGCAUCCACCCAUUUCCCUAUACCUCAGUUCUUAAGAUUUGCCUCUUCUGAGAAGCCACAGCCUAAGGAGCAAUGGGAGAUUGGGAGAGGUGGGGACUACAUUGUGAUUCCCCAGGGGCAUAGGUUCUCCAGGGGUGCCUGGCUGCCACCCAUAGGUGAACCUCAGAGGGCCACACCCUACCUUAACAUAGUCCAGUGUUCCCCUUCCCCAGUUAAAAUGCCCUAGAUGGAGGAGACACCGGUCCACGUGGACUUGCACCAGUCCAACUCCGCUCCCCCACCAGCCUGCACCCUGACUUCUCUCCUUUCUGGUCUCAGGCUGCAGGAUGGCGGAGCAGGGAAAGCUGCCUGUUGCCAAGGCUGACAACCUGAGGGACCCACAUGGUGGAAGCAGACAACUGAUUCUUCUCACUGUGGGCAGUUAGUUCCUGGUCUUUCUGCGACAGGAUGCACAUUCCAGGUGAAGGUCUCCCUAAGCCAUGGGGACCCCACCCUGCCCCUGUCAGCUCUUAAAUAGAUAGCUAGGGCUGCCCCACCCUGAGGCUUUAGGUGGGUGUUAACAGGGGAGAGCCUGCCACUCAGACCUCCAUGCUCGGAAGCUCCCAGAAGGCCUUAGGGUGUAACCAUGGCCAUGCCUCACUGCCCAUCCUAUAGAGCCAGCAGAGAUGUGUAAAACCAUGGCCGCACCUCACUGCCUUACAGGGCGAGGUAGUCCCCCAUGAAGGCAAGUGGAGGAGCCUUCACCCUUAGUGUCACCUGGGCCAGUACCAUGGAAGUGUCUGAGCUACAUUCUCACAGAGGUCCUGACUCCUGCCUGACAUGAGGAGAGCAUGCUCUGGGGUGACAGGACAAGUUGAAGACCCCCAGGCUUAGUACAUCUGUCCUGUGUCCCACAGAGCAGGAAGGCAGAAGCCUGAUUCCUUCAAACUCAGACCUGAUCGGUUCCCACAAAACACCUAAGAUCACUUUCUGGAUGAUGGGAGAGUGAGUCAGUAUUUUUGGAAAUGGUGGUGGAUUCUUCAUGAACAUAGCUCUUGAAGGAUGAGACAUGGGUGACUUCCUGAGUGCUCUUAGCUUCAUAGCUGCCUAAUUCCCAAUAUAGACCUUGUCUCUCUCUAUAUAUACAUAUAACAAGAUUUCCUGAAAUUCCUGUCAGAAUUUCACCCAUGUGAUGCAAACCUAGACCAAUCAGAAGACGGGCUGCAUCUCUGGGCCCGCCCCCGACCUACUAUUCCUUCUCAGAGACCACAACUUUUUGGCAGCUCCUAGCCUUUAGAGCAAAGCACAAGGCUGGCCCACAGUCCCUGUGUGCAGGAGGGGCUUGUGGUGGUAUUGUGUUCCCCAAAAUAUUGUGCACCCUAAUAAACUUAUCUGGGGUCAGAGAACAGAACAGCCACUAGAUACAGAGGGUAGAAAAUGGUGGCACUCACACUUUUAAUCCUAGCAUUCCAGAGGCAGAGAUCUACCUGGAUCUCUGUGUGUUCAAGGAUACAGCCAAGCAUGGUGACUCACACCUUUAAUCCCAGAAAGUGAGCCUUUAAUCCCAGGGAGUGAUUGCAGAAAGCAGAAAAAUAUAUAAGGCGUGAGGACCAGAAACUAGAAGCUUUUAGCUGCUUAAGCUUUUAGGCUUUUGAGCAGCGGUUCAGCUGAGGCCUAUCUGGAUGAGGACUCAGGGGCUUCCAGCCCGAGGAAACAGGAUCAGCUGAGGAAUUGGCGAGGUGAGGAAGCUGUGGCCUGUUCUGUCUCUCUCUGAUCUUCCAGUAUUCACCCCAAUACCUGGCUCCGGGUUUGCUCUUAUUAAUAAGACCAUUUAAAAUUCGUGCUACAGGGGCUUGCUCUGGGCUCAGGUGGUCUCCAGCCCAAGUCCCCCAGCCCUGUGUACUGUCCCCUGUCAGUGCAUUUGUAGACAUGAGCACCUGUCAGCACUCUGUGGGACAUCUAUAUAAAUCCAACUCCACUAAUCUCUCUUUUCUCUGAUGCCCUCCUCAGAACCACCCCUGACCUACCUCAAAUAUUAAAAAAAAGUAAAGACUUUUCAGAGUGCCUCCUAUUGACCUGAACUCUCUUCUUGAAAUGUUUCAUUCACGUUAGGCAGUGGUAGGGCAAACCUUUAAUCCCAGCACACAGGAGGCAGAGGCAGGUGAAUCUCUGUGAGUUCGAGGCCAGACUUAAUUGUACAUGGGGCCAUGUUCCAGCCCUAGAAAGCAACAGAAUUUGGUAGAUUUCGCCAUAUAGCUGUGGCUUUAUAGUCAAGGAUAGAAGGAAGGGGUAUGGAAUCUCUCUCUGCAGCUAAGGAAAGCCUCUGAGGCCAGGCAUGCAUGUCUCAGGGGUGUCCUUGAAUGGAGGCCUAGAGAGGCCAUUGUAUGAAGCUGUUAAGGAGAAGCCUGAGUUGCCUUGGAGACCCCAAGAUAUUGGAGAUGCCAGGGUCAUGGGAUGCCUGUCAAGGAAAGCAGCUAACAGGGAGCAGAAGCAGUCCAAGAGAGAGAGAAGUGUGUUGCAGUCAACAGAGCCCGAAGGAGUUGGAGAGCUGAAGAGCGUUUUUUGACAUCAGACAUAGAGAUGCAGAGUUUGGAGCUUGCCCAGCUGGUUUUCAGUCUUACGUUGGUCCAGUAAUUUCUCACUAUGCUCCCGUUCUUCCAUUUUUGGAAUGGUAAUGUAUACCCUGUGCCAUUAUAUGUUGGAAGUCUGUGAUUGGCUUUUUGAUUUAAAAUUUACAGGGGAUUAUAGUUAAGAGAUGGCAUGAAUCUUAGAAGAGACUUUGAAAUUUAGUCUUUUAAAUAAGUUUGAGACUGUUAUAGAUUAUGUGGACUUUUGAAGUUGGGCUGAAUGCAUUUUUGCAUUACGAUAUGGCUACAAGCCUUUGGGGACCAGGGGGGUUGAUAGUGCUCUUAAGCAAGACAUCCAAGGCUGUCCUCUGUCCUUUACAUGCAUGUGCACAUGUGCACGAGUACCCCCUGCACACACUGAAGACAUGAAUUAAAAAUAAGAGAGGCAGGUGAUUCAUGACUUUGAUCCAAGCACUCAGGAGGCAGGUGGAUCUCUGUGAGCUUGAGACUACCCUGGUCUGCAUAGUGAGUUCCAGGACAGUCAGAGCUGUAUAGAGAGACCCUGUCUCAAACAGACAGACAGACAGACAGACAGACAGACAAGUGAAUAAAUAAAUAAAAGAGGCAUGCAAUUGUUUACAGGGUCUCAGCCAUGCGGCCUGCCACCUUUUCCAAGUUAAAACUUCCCCCAUUCCUCUUUAGUUAGGAUUUUAUUGCUGUGCCAAAACACCAUGAGCAAAAGUAACUUGGGGAGGAGAGGGUUUAAUUUGGCUUACUGUUCCACAUCAUUGUUGUCACUGAGGGAAGUCAGAGCAGGCACUCACACAGGGCAGGAACCUGGAGGCAGGAGCUGAUGCAGAGGCCAUGGAGGGGUGCUGCUUACUGGCUUGCUCAGCCUGCUUUCUUAUAGAAUCCUGGACCACCCGCCCAGGGGUAAUCCUAUCUGCAAUGGGCUGGGCCCUCUCCCAUCAAUCACUAGUUUAGAAAAUGCAUUAUAGACUUACUUAUAGAGCAAUCUUUUUGGUUUUUAUUUUAUUUUUUUAAAUCAAACUAUAAUAAAAUUGUCCCUAAGCUUCUAAAAGAAAAGGAAGGAAGGACGGAAGGAAGGACGGACGGAAGGAAGGAAGGAAGGAAGGAAGGAAGGAAGGAAGGAAGGAAGGAAGGAAGGAAGGGAAUAGUUCAUUCUGAGCCAAAUAUGAAUGCUCAUGGUCCAGGAUCAUGUUUCAAGUUACUCUUAAUGACAUGUUUGCCCUCCAUGGAGAAGGGUCCAUGAACCUUGAUAGUCACAGAAAAGGAAGUCAUGAACCUGUUAGUGGUGAAAUAUGUCUGUGACCACAUUUGAGAGACAGAGGCAAAAGGAUCACUAUGAGUUCCAACCCAGGCUACAUAGCAAAAUCCUAUUUUAAAAAAAUUAAAAGCAGGACUGAGUGGCAUAUGUGAGUCCUAGAUUCAAUUCCUACAAUCACCAAAACAAACUUUGAGCCAGGCGUUAUGGGGCAAGCCUGUUCUCCUAGUACUUGUAAAACAGAGGCAGGAGGAUCACCUCAAGCUUGAACCUAGCCUGCUCUGCCCUUGAAGCUCCAGGCCAGCCAGGGCUAUACAGAGAAACUCUGUGUUAAACAAAAACUGUAAUGAAAGGAUAAACUCCAAGAGCUGGCCUGUCAGACUUAAUCAGAAUAACACCACGUGGGAGCUGAGUCAGAGGAACUCCCAGGCUGCAGGAAUGGCUGGUUCCUCCUUGCCCCAGCAGGGCAGCAGACCAGCACAGGCAGAAAGCUGCUGCCCAGGUGUGCAAAGGCUAAAGGAAGCCAAACUGUCCUGCUGGAGGGGCCAACCCUUCACCCGGGCUGGAGGGGUCUGAGGUGUGCCCCAGCAGCUGGGGUGGCCUGAUACCCCAUCUGUGCCAAACUGAGUUGGCUCUCGGACUUGGAAACCCACCAGGGGUCACAGGCACCUCCUUAUCCUCAGGGAUGCAGGUCCUGGGGAGGGGGCUGAGACCCAUCUCUGGUGCUGUGCCCUGUGCUGUGGUGUGUGCAUGGCCCCUGAAGCUUCCUCCUUCUCCCUCCACCUCCUCUGUUCAUCACUUCCUUUCGUUCUCUGAUGUUUUAAUUGAACCCCCACCCCCACCCCGACUUUUCUCUCAGGAGUUCUGGUUCUGCAGGCUGCUGGGCACUGGACCCCAGCAGGAUGAAGGCAGGAAUGUGUCCUGGGCAGGGCAUCCUCACAGACAGGGGACAGCAUGAGACAUGAGGAAAGCUCUGAAUGGCACUUACAUGGCUGUUCCCUGGAUGGAUUCCAGGGGUGGAAUGAGGGGGUUCUCAGUCAAGGAGGCCUUGUACUUCAGAGCUAAAACUGGGAAUGCCAUAGAGGUCAGAGGACAAUUUGUGGAGUUGAUUCUCUCCUUUCCACUAAGUGGGUUCUGGGGAUUGAACUCAGGUGAUCAGGUUUAACUGCAAGGACCUUUACCCACUGAUUUACCCUCCUGGACUUGUUUUGUGAGUUAGGAUCUCCCUAUGUAGCCAGUGCUGAUCUCCAAUUAAUGAUUCUCAACCUGGCAGUGGUGGUGCAUACCUUUAAUCCUAGCAUUCAGGAGGCAGAGGCAGGCAGACCUGUGACUUGGAGGCUAGCCUGGUCUACAGAGCAAGUUCUAGGACAGCCAGGGCUACACAGAGAAACCCUGUCUAGCAAAUUAACAACAACAGCAACAAAAGACUCUCCUGAUGAGAAUUAUAGGUAUGUGCCUGCACGACCAGCAAAUACAUAUUAUUACUAUUAGUUAUUAUUAUUUUGAGACAAGGUGUCCAAGUGUAUCCCUGGCUGGCUUGGAACUUAGUAGGUAGACCAGGCUGGCCUCAAAGCCACAGAGAUCUGCUUGCCAUUGCCUCCUAGGUACUGGGAUUAAAGAUGUAUGUGCCUGGCAAAUAUAUAAUUUUUUAAUAAUGGGCUUUGGAUUACAUAUAAGGCGUCAACUAUCAACCAGAAAGCAGUUCCUGAUCAGAUUCAUCUUGUGCAACUGCCUUAGAGAGGAAAUUGCAUGCUGGGAAGACAUGAGUGACAUACCAUUUUCCCCCAAAGUUAUCACGGCCACUUUGCUGUGGUGCAAUCAAUACUGCCCACCCUCUGGAAGGGACAGCUGAAGUAGGACGGCCAUCUGGUCACUUCUGGUUGAAUACCUCUUCAACUUUUGUUCCUGAGACCCUAGGCUCAGACAUAACAAAGGGAUUGCAAGAUUGAUGGACUGAAGCAUUAGUCAUCAGGCGAUGAGUAACUCCAGGAAGAACUGAAGCAAUUUUUAGCUUGGGUUCAGAAAGGCAGCGAGUUCUAAGAACAAAAGGCGUGUUCUGAGCCUGGGAGGAACGCCAGCGCUGUCCAUCAAGGCCCAGGUGGUCCAGCCCCUGCUCCAUCCUCCAUCCUGCAGAAGUCAGGGACCCAGCAUGAUUGGCUUCCUCGGGGGAAACUUGUCACUGUGGAGAGGACAGAUGCCUGCAUUUUCCAGACCGGGACAUGGCAAUAGUUUCCAGAGAGGUCGAUUUUUAUAGACACCAAGUCAACAGUAAAGACAGAACUGAGGAUAAAAAC